AGCUGGGAUACCCGAUACAAAAACUGAACACAUAGUCAUGGGACAUUCACUGAGUUUCACCAUGACAGCGUUGAGACAACAAACACUUUCCAAAGUCCUGAAAGCUCCU